GGUUUUAUAUUCAAUUAUGAUCUUAAAUUGCAAAUUUAAAGGUGGAGUAAAUUCCUGAAACCU
rnacentral:tRNA from 1 species